ACGAACGCUGGCGGCAUGCCUAACCCCUGCCAGUCGAACGAGACCUUCGGGUCUAGUGGCGCACGGGUGCGUAACGCGUGGGAACCUGCCCUUAGGUUCGGAAUAACUCCCCGAAAGGGGUGCUAAUACCGGAUAAUGUCUUCGGACCAAAGAUUUAUCGCCUUUGGAUGGGCCCGCGUUGGAUUAGCUAGUUGGUAGGGUAAAAGCCUACCAAGGCGACGAUCCAUAGCUGGUCUGAGAGGAUGAUCAGCCACACUGGGACUGAGACACGGCCCAGACUCCUACGGGAGGCAGCAGUGGGGAAUAUUGGACAAUGGGCGAAAGCCUGAUCCAGCAAUGCCGCGUGAGUGAUGAAGGCCUUAGGGUUGUAAAGCUCUUUUACCCGGGAUGAUAAUGACAGUACCGUGAGAAUAAGCUCCGGCUAACUCCGUG
rnacentral:rRNA from 1 species